GUGUCACCCUUAUAUACCUUGUAUUGUGUAUGGUGUUGUCAGGAAUUAAGAAGUCAUGAAGGUUGCUGUGAAAACUGAAGAGGUUGGACCUUCUGAAGAGAAUACAAUAGAAACUGUUGACAGCAAAACUGGGCUCAGUACUAUUUUUAAGAAUCCAGAUUUUAAGCACUCUGGGAAGACUGCAAACAAGAAGCGGGCUUGGCGUCCUCUGAAGCAGCUUAUUAGCAUCGAAAAAAGCCUGCCUUAUCCAGAACAGGCUGUUACGUACUGGAGCAUUGAGGCUCCACCAUCAUUUCUUCCUCCGAAGAAGUAUUCGGACAUCUCAGGCCUACCGGCAAAGUACACAGACCCCCACACAAAGCUACGGUACGCCAGUGCAGAGGAGUACAAAAUCAUCCAAAGCCUACCGGGCGACAUCGUAGCCGGCUACCUGGCUCUACGCAAGGCGUUCAACCCCGUCGGUUGACAUGGCUCGCGUCUUCGUGACGGUGGGGACAACGGAGUUCGACAAACUCGUGCGAACAGUGACAUCUACCGACGUGUUGAGCACUCUCAGUUCGCGCGGCUAUCGCGAGAUGGUGCUGCAGAUCGGUGCUGGGAAGACUGAGCCUCCCACGGGCACCUUCGAGGGAGUCGCGGUCCGCUGGUUUCGCUCCAAGCCGAGCAUUGCCGAAGACAUGGCGUCCGCUGACCUUGUGAUCGGUCACGCUGGGGCGGGGACGUGUCUGGAGGCGCUGCGGGCCGGCCGGCCGCUGGUGGUGGUCACCAACACGACCCUCAUGGACAACCACCAGGCCGAGCUGGCCGGCCGGCUGGCCGCCGACGGACACCUGCUGCACUGCGUCUGUGAGACGCUCAGAGACACACUGGCCGGGAUGGAGCUGUCUCAGCUGCGGCCGCUGCCGCCGGCCGACCCGACACCGUUCGCCGAGCACCUGGAGCGGAGACUGGGGCUGAGGUGAUGAUGAGACGGACUCGAGUGGUAAUGGAAAGUAGUCUGAGAGAAGUCAGCUCUGUGUGAACGCCUCUGAAAGCGAUUCAGCCUUACUGUAAGUCUGAGCGACGCAUACCGUGAUUGAGACGAAAAUGCAUACUAUUGACUACAAGCUGUCCCGGACUAGUUUUCAGCCAUGGAUUCUGGAACCCCUCUGAGACAAAGUGACGUUCGCCCCAGGCGGGCCCCGUCACCGUCCACCAGCGUCCGCCGCCGCCGACCGCCGACACGCAGGGCGUCACGCUCGACACAAUCAAUAAACAGGUGCGCGUGUCGCGUGUUUUGUGCCGUCAGCGCGGCCGUGCGGCGGCGGCGGACGGCGCGGGGCCGGUGUCGGUGUCGGCGCCCGUCCGGGGGUGGGCUCGACGUGUUUAUCCAGGCGUGGCUCGGUCGCGGGCUGUGGGACGGACGUGCACCAGGCGCCGCCUGCCACCCGCCGCGCCGCGGCGGCUCGCAUGCCGGCGCCGAUCCGGCCGCACGCCGUGUGCUGCUCUGUGAGCUGCCGCCGCCCGAGACGGGGUCAUGAUGGGGCCUGGGCGGGGCCGCUGCCGCCCGUGACCGCCUCCUGGGUGCCGCGGCGGCUGGCACGGCCGCCGGCGCGGUGAUGGGUGGGGCAGCGAGUGCCGUGACGGACAGCCGACUGGCCGUGAUGUACGGGCGUCACGCGGCCGACCAGUGACGUGACUGAGUGGCCCCGGAGAGACGGGAGGGGCUCUGUGGAGGGUGAAGCCGUCUGUGAUGAAUUGGAGAGGACUCCCCGGUGUGUCGAGUGAUCUCUGUUUAUGGCGUGUGGUGCAUUUUCCACGCGGGUUUGUGAUGCGUGGGGUGUCGUAUUAGAAAAGCGUUGAAAGCUCAGCUCUAUCGAGAUCCAUUGCCAUUCUCUGAUCGCCCGGUUCAUUGAUCCACUCUUUCUUUCUCAAAGGCGUCUCCCGACAUAUUACCACAAGUCUCCAGUUCCACUCUAACCUGACCGGUCCAACUGUCGGUGUCAGAACGUCCGUUGACAUGUUUUUAGUAACACCGCUUUAUUUUAGUAACACCGCUUUCCUAACAGUAUUGGCUGACGAAUGGUGAUUGAUACACUGUGACUCGUUUUUGAAGAGGCUGUCUGUGUUUGCGGGCGUUGGCCCUCACACCAGCUUCAGGACGGUAUUCUUGGCUGACCUCCCCUGACGCCUAAAGAAGGCCAGUUUUUGUGAGCUGUUGGGCUUGUCAGGAGUCAUGUUUUGUGCACGUCUUGAUGUAAACAAUAUAAGUCUGAACAAGGGA
rnacentral:misc_RNA from 1 species